GAGAGUUAGAAGUUCUUAAUGUUCUGUAAUUAUACCAGCCAUGUUUGAACACGAUGUUCAAACAAGCCACCACUGAGCCAUGGAUGGCGAAUUGGUGGCGGUGGCGCAUAUUUAUCAUAUGUUCAUCAGAACAUUUAGAACUUCUUACUC
rnacentral:ncRNA from 1 species